GUUUCUUACUUUGAAUGAUACAAUAUCUUCAUGUUUAUGGUUAUGACACAGUUUCUAUCAGAUUAUUUUCAGUGUCUAUUCAAAAAUUUGGGUCUCUGAAGAAAAGAGAAUGAAAACAUUUAGAUUAUAGUAUUAUGAUGACAGAUAAAAUGUGUGUGUGUGUGUGUGUGUGUGUGUGUGUGUGUGUGUGUAAUUAGUAAAGUAUGAGACUUGUUUGGAGAAAGCAUUGUGACAUCAUACUGAAGCUGUCCUAUCCAUGUUGGUUGUUAGAAACCAAUUAGCUGGAAUAGUGUUCUUCUAUAAGACCAAGGAUGACAGUGGCUGACCUCCCACUCCAACUACAUAUACACAGCUCCAUACUCUCAGAGAGUCCUGCAUCCCACAAUGGGGGCAAACUGGGAAACCCAGCUUCUGAACUUUGUGGCAUUAGGUUCUGCUGGUUAUCUAUUGGACUCUGACCUUACCCAUGAUGUCUUAACUGUUGCUCAGCCUUCCCACAUUCUCUCACCUGUACUACAUCUUGCAAGAUUCUACAAAAUUUCUGGUCAAGAAAAUGCAUCUGUUUCCCUUUGCUCAUCCUUUACAUAA
rnacentral:lncRNA from 1 species